rnacentral:rRNA from 1 species
AGAGUUUGAUCAUGGCUCAGGAUGAACGCUAGCGGCAGGCUUAAUACAUGCAAGUCGAGGGGCAGCAUGGGUGUAGCAAUACAUCUGAUGGCGACCGGCAAACGGGUGCGGAACACGUACAGAACCUUCCUUCGAGCGGGGGAUAGCCCAGAGAAAUUUGGAUUAAUACCCCAUAGUAUAUUGAAGAGGCAUCUCUUUAAUAUUAAAGAUUUAUCACUUGAAGAUGGCUGUGCGGCUGAUUAGGUAGUUGGCGGGGUAAUGGCCCACCAAGCCUGCGAUCAGUAACUGGUGUGAGAGCACGACCAGUCACACGGGCACUGAGACACGGGCCCGACUCCUACGGGAGGCAGCAGUAAGGAAUAUUGGGCAAUGGAGGCAACUCUGACCCAGCCAUGCCGCGUGGAGGAUGAAGGCCCUCUGGGUUGUAAACUUCUUUUAUAUGGGACGAAAAAGGGCUUUUCUAAGUCAACUGACGGUACCAUAUGAAUAAGCACCGGCUAACUCCGUGCCAGCAGCCGCGGUAAUACGGAGGGUGCAAGCGUUAUCCGGAUUCACUGGGUUUAAAGGGUGCGUAGGUGGGUUGGUAAGUCAGUGGUGAAAUCUCCGGGCUUAACCCGGAAACUGCCAUUGAUACUAUCAGUCUUGAAUAUUGUGGAGGUCAGCGGAAUAUGUCAUGUAGCGGUGAAAUGCUUAGAUAUGACAUAGAACACCAAUUGCGAAGGCAGCUGGCUACUCAUAUAUUGACACUGAGGCACGAAAGCGUGGGGAUCAAACAGGAUUAGAUACCCUAGUAGUCC